CAGUCGCCGCGGUAAUACGAGGGGUGCAAGCGUUAUUCGGAUUGACUGGGUGUAGAGGGUGUGCAGACGGCUUAUUAAGUCACUUGUUAAAUUCUUCGGCCUAACUGAAGGUCUGCAAGUGAUACUGAUGAGCUAGAGGGUGGAAGAGAGAAGUGGAAUUCUCGGAGUAGCGGUAAAAUGCGUAGAUCUCGAGAGGAACACCAAUGGCGAAGGCAGCUUCUUGGUCCAUUCCUGACGUUCAUACACGAAAGCGUGGGGAGCAAACAGGAUUAGAUACCCGGGUAGUCCCUGUCUCUUAUAC
rnacentral:rRNA from 1 species